rnacentral:rRNA from 1 species
GACGAGUGGCGGAUGGGUGAGUAACGCGUAUGCAACCUACCUCGUGUCGAGAAAAAGUCGACUGAAAAGUCGAUUAAAGUUUCGUAGUGUACAGGCUACGCAUGUAGCUUGUAUGAUAGACGCAAGUUGGCGCGAGAUGGGCAUGCGUAUCAUUAGCUAGUUGGUAGGGUAACGGCCUACCAAGGCGACGAUGAUUAGGGGUCCUGAGAGGGAGGUCCCCCACACUGGGACUGAGACACGGCCCAGACUCC